rnacentral:rRNA from 1 species
UACGAAGGGGGCUAGCGUUGCUCGGAAUCACUGGGCGUAAAGGGUGCGUAGGCGGGUCUUUUAAGUCAGGGGUGAAAUCCUGGAGCUCAACUCCAGAACUGCCUUUGAUACUGAGGAUCUUGAGUCCGGGAGAGGUGAGUGGAACUGCGAGUGUAGAGGUGAAAUUCGUAGAUAUUCGCAAGAACACCGGUGGCGAAGGCGGCAUCCUGGACCGGUAUUGACGCUGAGGCGCGAAAGCCAGGGGAGCAAAGCGGG